UAUUUUGAAAUUUUAGUUAGCUGUAUUAAUAAAAGACUCAUCUAAAACGUAAUGACACAGAAAAAUUAAAAAAAUUGAGGGGGAGGAAAUAUCUGAAAAAUUAUAAAGUCAACAUAAAGCCUCAUAUAAACAUAUAACCAUAAGUAAAACUGACUUUAAGAGGGAGAGAGAAUUAGAGAAUCAGAGGCUUAUUGCCUAUUAUUGAAAGGAACAAUUCAUCAAGAAAAUAUAAUUUUGAACCUGUACGCACCUAGCAACAUAGCCUCAAAACAAACAAAAACAAACAAAAUGGAUUUACUGAAAAGAACUUAGAAAUUCACAAUUUUAGUAGAAGAUUUUCAUUUACAUUUCUCAGUAACAUUAAAUAAUCAUUUACAGAACCCUGAAGACAGCAGAGAAAUUAUGUUCUUUUCAAGCACCCAUGAAACAUUUACAAAAAUUGACAGUGGCGUGAGCCACAAAACAAGUCUCAGAAAAACUACAUCUUACGGAGUAUGUUCUCUGAACAAAAUGCAAUAAAAAUUAGAAUUUAAAAAGCACACUGGAAGUUCCGAUGUGGCUCAGGUGUGGCCCGAAAAAGAAACGAAAAAAAAAAAAAGAAUUCUGCUGUUGCAAACCUCUGUGAUGAUACUAAAUUGAGCCCCAUCUUAAAACAUGACUAUUAAUACCUCUCUUGCAGAUUUUCCGUGAGGCUUAGACAUGAGAGAGACAGAUGGAUGCAGUCAUGUAGCAGUGUUGGUUGCCUUGCCAACAUCCACCUCCACUUCCCUUCUUCCUUUCUCAUACCCCCUAAUUUUCUUCAGGUAUAUUCACCCUCCUCCACCUGGCCAGAUACUUUCUCAGCUCCAGGACACAGGGUAUCCUGAUUUCUUGGAGACAAGUGUGGCAAUCCCACUCCUCUUAUCAGUGGCUUGAUUCCGCCCAAUACAACCAAUGGAGUCUUCCAAGAGACCUCUGGGAAUGUGUCUCUCUCCAAAAAGAGAGAAAAGGAAGGAAAUAGCCCCAUUGUUGCUUGUUUGCUUGCUUGUUCGUUGUAUCUCAUUGCAAUGUUGUCUCUGGAUUUGAAGCCACCUUCUGACCCCAAGGUCAGCACUGUCAACACCCUAAGGGAGGCAGGAAAGAGAACUUAUAACAAUUGAACUCGAACCCUGGAUGAUAGUUUUGAUAGUCAAUACCAACCAACCUGGGAAUCUACCCUCCUUUUCUACCUCCUGCUAUGUGAGAUAAUAAAUCCCCAUCUUGCAGGAGCCAGGUUGAGCUAACUUCGCUAGUUGCCAAAACAUCCUAAAUGAUGAAAAAGGUCAAGCUCAGCCUCGGAGGUCAAAGCCAUGCUAAAAAUAGUAGUUACCAUUACUAUUCUGCUCCGCCUUGCCCAUCCACCCUCUUAUCACUAUCACCGAUGCAACAUCCUUAUUCUGGUCACUUCUGUUCGUAAGUGAAGGGACUAUUCCCCAUAGUAUCUAUUAGCAUAAAACCCUAACUUCCAUUUUCUAAGUAGAGUUUUUACAGCUCACUUGGGGAAUUUAGGAACAGGGCUCACAUUCAUCAUUCUGCAAUUAUGAAUUAUAGGUUGGGAUUCACUCUGUUUAGUUAUACCUACAUUUUUUCACUCUAAUCAAAAAAAAAAAAUUAGGAUGUAUAAUUUCAGUGAAUUACCUUCCAGCAGAAACCUGGAUCUUUUAUUACCAUGAGCUAACAGAACUCCAAUAGAAUCCUAGUAGAAGACGAAUCCUUUCAGAUUUUUGACAGAAAAAACAUAAAGUAAAUCUUUCUCUUCUAUUUAUUUUAAGACUGGAGGAUGAGCCAGUGCCACAGUGGAGAUAAGACAUUUUUGGAAAUAGGAAUUCAGAGACCACAUGGAUCCCACAGGAAACAUAACGAUUUAAUAGUCAACAGAGUAAUAAAUAGAUCAACAAGUAAAAACAGGAAGACUCCCUUUCCAGCCCCGCAAAGAGCAGAACACCGGAAAGCCAACGUAUCUGAAGAAAGGAUUCUCUCUCAAGAGCGACUGUGGCUGAGCCAGAGACUUGCCCAUGGGGAUGGGGGCUAAUGGGUGAGGUAAAGAGGCACCUGUUGGUGAAUCCGGGGCAUUUCUUCCAGUAGAGAAGCCUGUCCCAGCAGGACAGACCCUCAGCCCACCCAAGGGCUUUAGGCAGGACCUGGUGAGUGAGGAGCCAUCACCUGAAAGAAAGGCAGCUACCAAGAUCAGUACAGGAGGAGUUCCCGUCGUGGCGCAGUGGUUAACGAAUCCGACUAGGAACCAUGAGGUUGCGGGUUCGGUCCCUGCCCUUGCUCAUGGGUUAACGAUCCGGCGUUGCCGUGAGCUGUGGUGUAGGUUGCAGACGCGGCUCAGAUCCCGCGUUGCUGUGGCUCUGGCGUAGGCUGGUGGCUACAGCUCCGAUUAGACCCCUAGCCUGGGAAUUUCCAUGUGCCUCAGGAGCAGCCUAAGAAAUAGCGCCCCCCCAAAAAAAAAUUCAGAUCAUAAAAAAAGAAAAUAAAAAAUACUCCUAGUUAAUCCAAUUCCAAUACAACCAUAGGUAAGACUUUGAUGAACUUCCUUCUAGUCUUUUUUCUACUCACAGAUAAUAAUAUAACUGGGUUCACACCACGGAAUUCUCUAUCCCACUUUAUUUCCCUUAACAGUGUAUUUUGAACACAUUCUAGACUAGGACGUUUCAAACCAAACCCUACUGGGUUGUGUUCUUGAAAAAACACACCAGGAGUUCAUAUUAACAAUGUGAUACUGUUUCAACAGACUACACAUUAAUGCAUCAAUUUUUCUCAUCUUAUCAUCAUAAAAUAUUAUACUCAUUAUGAACUAUAAGGUUAAACCUAUAGAGGUACACUUGCUUCCAAGAGAAAGAAAGACCUGUGCCAGGGAAAACAAACCAAGUGCUGUCACCUCUGAAUAAAAAUCAUAUCUGUUUACCUGAAUCCGGUCAAAGAUAAAAUAGAGAGAAACGCCACUGUUAAAACACCACCUCCAUGUCCUCGGAGCCCUGAGAAGUAUCAUUUGUAUCACUAAUGUAAAUUUUAUUAUCAUUUCAAACCACCAUUUUAAAUGGAUCAGUGUUACCAGAAGCAAACUCCUGAACCCAAAAAAAAAAAAAAAAAAAA
rnacentral:lncRNA from 1 species